ACAUUUAAAAUAGUUGCCCCCCCCCCCAUUUAUUUUAUUUUAAGUCUUAAACGAUUAGUAAAACUAGUCUUAUACAUAUUUGAAUAUAUUCUGUGUUAAAAAAGGUCUUUUCUUUAGUACUUAGUUUCACCAGCAGAGGGCGCUUGACACUUUGCCCAUCAGUAGUUGACACCGGAAGGAGGAGCUCAGUCAACUACGUGAUGAGCGAGUCAGCAGAACGUGACCAAGCGCGCAACAGUUAUUGAUUGUUUUAUUGUUUAUUUUCCAGUCAGGCAACUCAGACACCUUCUGGACUGCCUCGGCGUGAGCCUAUCUGGAUCAGGAGAGAUGGGACUGCCUGCCAACCAGCAUAACAAGCAGAAAUACCAACAUGGAAGAUUUCAGGCCAGAUGAGGGUCAAAACAGGAUCAGGCAAGCAGAGCAGGUCUUGAAUCAACAGGAGAGCUGCAGAGAAACAACAACUUUCUGGCAGGGAGGUAAUGAUAGGUAGAGCAAUAAACUGGCAGGUGAACAGGUGCAUGAUGAGGGUGAUCGCUGGGGAGGGCAGAGCAGACACAGAGAGGGGCAGAAUCCUGGAAGGUUGGAAUAUAAAUUUAUGCCUCCCCUACCUGUAUAGGGUAAGAUGAGUGUCAAAAUGAAACAGGCAUUUAGACAAAGUUGUGUGCAAAGUAUUACUUGAAUACAACAUUACAGUUUCUGUCUGUUGUGAAAAUGAUCUGCAUUUGUUUUGACUACAACUUUUCUUUGUCUCGAAUGAGAAAUUUCCCGUUCAAUUUCUGUCAACGGAGUUACAGGCAUAUAAAUCGAGUCAUGAAACAGCAAAGUCCACAUGGACAUUUAGGUUAAACUGAGCGGUCCGGUCUGGUCUGACAAACAGUAGUACAGUACGGACCAGUUUUCACUCAAUUAAGCCUCCACUUCCACUUAGCCUUUUGUUUUCACUGCACAUGUGUGGUGUAGACCACUAGCGUGUUGCGUCACUGUAGUACGAUGACUAGAAAAGCCACAACAAAAGAGGUUAUCCAGCAGUUUGUUUGUUUCUUGCUUCACUUUUUGUACAUUGUGUUUAACAGUAGUUUAAAGUUGUUUGAAUGAAGAUUGCAGGCGAUUAAGAAGAAUACCACCUUAAAGAGGAAUACGAAAAUGCUAGCUUAGCGCUAUAUUGGUGCUUUCUAAUGUCGUCAUCACUUUCUGCCAAUCAACGGAUGACUACAGUGACUCCGCUCCAACCGUCCCAUUCCAUUUUUCUAUGUCUAUGGAACUACAACAGAUGGGGCUCUCAAGUGGUACGGGUCAGAACUGUUUAACGAGUCCAAGUUACAAUGGAAAUGCCGUACCGUACUGUACCAUACCGGACUGCUCAGUGGAAACGAGGUUUUGGUGAUCCCACAACGGAGAAAUUAACUUGUGACCAAAGCUCAAUUGGAAAAAUAAAACAGAUAAUAUUAACGUUGAUCUCCAGUCGCUUCUCCAGUGGUAUUUUGUUGUUGCCAAGCGACAGCAGCUGAUUGUGCAUGUAAACAAUGCACCUGCCGACUGUUUCAGAUCCAGAAGUGAUGAAAAAUAGUAAAAUAGAAACAGACAUGACACUACUUUAACAAGGCGCAAAAAUGACAAUGCCUGUCAAAAGAAAAGAGUUAAAAACAUAUAAAUAAACAAAAAACAUGUAAGCUAACUUGGUCACAGCAUGGACAAAGUAUCGAACUUUUUUUAAAUUAUUUUUUACUGGCACAUGGCAAGAGUUAUUUUGUUUUUAACUAUAUCUACACACCUCUAAAUGCAUUUUGGCUCUGUAUUGUUGUUGAGAAACUACAUCGUCUCUUUUUUAUUACAUCACUGCUGUAAUGUGGAUGUAAGUGAGAAUUGUCAGAAUAACCAUUCUUGCUCUAGUUUUUGCUAAUCCUACUUUUUUCGUUAUAAUUCUCUGUAAUGGAAGGUAUUCAAGUUAUAAACUGGCCAAUCAAAUGUCUCAUUAGAAGCGUUUGACAGAUUCUCCUGCUUUUAAGCGUGUGGGUGUCGACUUUCAACAAGCUCACUUCUGAUUGGUGGAAGGUGGUUGCCCUCAAAAACUAGACUCAAACCCAUCACUGCUUACUGAGAAUUUUAGGCGACAUCCAAAUUGAGGAAAAAGGCAACUAAAUUGACUUUAUUUCAUUGAAGCCAGAGACAAGUCAUAUUCUAUGGGUGACAACACACUCACUCAGUCCAGUUUUCAUGUACAGUCAAUGGUUGUGACCAAUGAUCUACAUUAACAAAACACUGAUUAAGUAAUGCUAGAAAAUAAAAAUACUAAAAUCAUUUAUAAAACACAUAAACUGUUCAUCAGUGCCUGAUUAUUGUACGUCUUUAACCCUGACGUUCUCUCUAGAUGUGUCAGUCCGGACGCUCACUGUGUUGAAAUGAGGAUUUGUAACGCAACCCUGGAAUGUAUUUUUGACAUAAAUUUAAUUCAAGACAAAUACAUUUUUCUUUCAAAACAGACAUGUCAAACAUAAAAACCAAAUGUUGUCCAACUUUGUCUAUGAGCAUAUAUUUAAUUUUGUCAGUAAAAUUAUGCCGUAUACCUGCUUCGCACAUUUCUUGUGGGUUUGCAUGAAACAUUUGAAACAAACUACAGCAUAAUCGAGUCAUGAGGUGAUGCAUCUAUAACAAUAAGCACCUCUACUUAGCCCAGGUGUAUAAAUUACCAAAAGUUGAGGUAAAGACGCCUCAUGAGCAGGACGAAAGUUAUAAUUUCUUCUUUCUAAAUUAAUUCUAUUGGCUAAUCACGUAAACACACUUCUGUUGCUCUCAAUGAGUUCAAUCAUUAAUGCAAUAAAAACUGCAACUGGACACGCAGCGGUAAUAAAUAAGAGGUAUCGCAAAUUGCCAGCAGGUGCACUGUAGCUGGGUGUUAUUGAUGCUUCUGUUUUCCUGUAGUCUACAUGAUACACGGCUUCUAUCGUUUGCAUUACUCUCUCCGUUCAAUUACUUCAACUUUAAAGGUUGCAAAUACUUUUUAAGGUCAUUUAUUUACCAAUUAACCAAUCACAGUGUUUUUGCAUUACUAGGCUAUUACACAAAGCUGCUUGGUAAACAUGUGAUCAUAAAUUUCUUUUUUUUUUUUAU